rnacentral:rRNA from 1 species
AUUGAACGCUGGCGGCAGGCCUAACACAUGCAAGUCGAACGGUAACAGGAAGCAGCUUGCUGCUUUGCUGACGAGUGGCGGACGGGUGAGUAAUGUCUGGGAAACUGCCCGAUGGAGGGGGAUAACUACUGGAAACGGUAGCUACUACCGCAUAACGUCGCAAGCCCAAAGAGGGGGACCUUAGGGCCUCUUGCCAUCGGAUGUGCCCAGAUGGGAUUAGCUAGUAGGUGGGGUAACGGCUCACCUAGGCGACGAUCCCUAGCUGGUCUGAGAGGAUGACCAGCCACACUGGAACUGAGACACGGUCCAGACUCCUACGGGAGGCAGCAGUGGGGAAUAUUGCACAAUGGGCGCAAGCCUGAUGCAGCCAUGCCGCGUGUAUGAAGAAGGCCUUCGGGUUGUAAAGUACUUUCAGCGGGGAGGAAGGGAGUAAAGUUAAUACCUUUGCUCAUUGACGUUACCCGCAGAAGAAGCACCGGCUAACUCCGUG